AGUGAAGCUGCUCUCUGCCAUACUGCCAUACUCCAGCUGUAAACUGGAGAAGCUGCAGGUGAGCCGGUGUGAACUCACAGAGAAAUGCUGUGAGGAACUGGCUUCAGCUUUAAGAUUGAACUCCUCACCUCUCAGAGAGCUGGACCUGACUGACAAUGACCUGCAGGAUUCAGGAGUGAAGCUGCUCUCUGCUGGGCUGGGGGAUUCACACUGUAAACUGGAGACACUGAGGCUGGCAGGCUGUAGAGUCACAGAAGAAGGC